UGAAUCUAAAUGGAAUGCUCCAAUUUUGCCAGACAAGCAGGCAAAUGGAAGGCUAUCCCAGUUAGUCCAAGACCUCAGAGCUGUAAAUAAUAGAGUAGAAGAUAUACAAGCAGUUGUAGCAAAUCCUUACACUUUGCUAACUCCCCUAAAUGAAAGUUUAAUGUUUCACAGUAUUAGAUUUGAAAGCUGCCUUUUUCUGUCUCCCUUUGAGUUGUGAAAGUCAAGAGCUUUUUGCUUUCAAAUGGGAAAAUCCAAAGACAGGGAGGAAAACCCAGCUGACUUUGGUGGUCCUCCUGCAGGUGAUGCCAGCUCAGCUGAUGCUAAGGAAAAACCUCAGGAGCAGUUAAUUGAGUGUGAGAUAAGGAAAGGGUUUGAUUUGUGCCAAGGCACAGAUGUUACAGGGUGCAUGCCCGCUGUGCCUGAGAUGUUACAUUUUAUAAUACUACCUGUCCAAUCCCAAGUGUUUCCACCCCGUAGCCUUUGCUCUGGUCUGCCCCGGGCCCACUCCCUGGGAAUUGAGUCUGGGGUGCAUUUCAGGACCCUCUCUUCAUCCCCAUCACCAUCCUCAGAGCACAAAGGGUACACGGUCACCCAGUUCUUGACUCUGUUCUGUUGUUCAGGCCAAGAUAGGAGUGUUCUCUAAACAGCACAGGCCUUGCCUUGACAAGAGACUAAACAUUUCUACUGAAUUCAGGGUUAGGAUUGAUAUGGGGAGCAUGGAAUGGGGUAGGAGGGUUGAGGAAUGUGUAAACUAAAGGGUGCUAAAGGGUGAGGAAUACAAUAUAGCUACUUCUAAAAUCUACUUCUACUAUAAUUACAUAAAAAGCUUAUAAAAAUUAGCAAAGUCAAAAAAAACCUAAAAGGGUCUUAAGGCAUCACAGGGGUUUAAAAAUAUCCCCCCAAUAUUUGGAACUCAACUGGCAAAGGAACUGGAGGAAUGGAAAAGUCAAACCCCUCUUGGAGCCUUGUUCCAGCGUGUGGAUAUUUUGAUAGCCACUGAUGCUGAGCAGCAAUGUUGGGAUCAGACACUAUGGAAUUUCCUUGGACUGGGUGGAUAUGGAGUGUCCCAAACACAAAGUGCAAGUAGUCCAGACCCCAGGAGCCUCCCUGGGCUUUGGAAUUCUCCAAGGACAAGGGAGGCUGGGCCAGGAACGAAAGAAGCAACCUGUCAACUGCCCCAGCCCCAGCAAAGGAAGCCCAGAGCAGGAUUGCUUCCAGACUAGAGGAGAAGUGUAUUGGGGCAGAGCUGACUCAGGAGACAGCCCCUGGGAAAGUCCUGGUUGGGAAUUGUUUCCCAGUGGGGGCAGCUUUGUCCAGUGUGGAAAACAAUUCUCUGGAUGCACAGGAACUCCCCCAGCAGGUCAUGGAAUUGGGGGCACUCCUCUGCAGUGCCUCAGCCCAGAAAGCAGAACCAACUGUGCUCACUCCAGCUUUGGGAUAGAGUCAAGGAGAACAAGUUAAUCCUUGGACUUGCUUGAAGAUCUCCAGAAACCAACAGAGGCUGCUGUCCUGCAUUGCAGAGUGCACCAAGAGGGGGAGACCAAAGCAGAACUGGGGAAUCAUUUGGCCCAUAAUUCUGCCAAAGAGGCUGCAGAAAAAGGCACUUUAGAGAGUAAAGUUUUGUCUUUACUAACCCUGACAGAGAUACCUCUCCCAGUAGAAAAAAAUGAGUCUAGUGCUAAGGAUUGUCAGCUCAUUGAAACCUUAGAGCAAAAUUUGCUCCAGGAGGCUGGGCAGUUACCCCAGGUGGGCAAAUAAUAGUCCCUGAACCAGUCUGGUGUGACCUGGUGGAUGGGGAACACGAGGGUAUUCCUUGGAGUGAAGCAAAUCAUUGAAACAUUUGCACAAGUGGGUUAUAAGUCCAAAACUGCCCCCAGUUGUAGAAGCAGUGAGUCAGCAGUGUGGUGUGUGAGAGAAAUGAUCCAACCCCUGCCAAUGCAGUGGGAACAGGUGAUGUAAAGUGUAGAAAUGUUCCAGGUGAAUGUUGGCAGAUGGAUUUGACUGAAUUGCCCAGAAAAGGGGGGUGUAAAGAUCUCCUGGUCUUGGGGGAUACCUUCUCUGGGUGGCCAGAGGCUUUUCCUUGUUGCACUAAGAAGGUUUGGAAAGAGACUGCAAUCCUGUUCAAUGCAAUCCUCCCUGUAUUUGGGAUGCCUUUGGGAAUGUCAUCAGACAGAGGUUCCCACUUAUUGCAGAAACAAAAUGCUUCACUCUUGUUUUGCUCUUCUGAACACAGUUCAAACACUGUUGACAUGGGAGGAAAAUUUACAUCUCUUUUUAGUGCCAAAUGUGAUCCAAGUGUUGUCUAAAAGUGUCUGUAUUAAGUAAGCAAGACUCUGUAAUGAAUCUGUAAACUGUGUGUGUAAUGUAAAGCCCUGUCUGGCUGUCCCUGAAGUGCUGAGGCUGAACAACAGCCCCUGAGCCAAAGCUGAGCUCUAGAUGAACCUCCCAACCUAAUGGGCUGUGUCUCCAUGUAUCUGCUCAUCAGCUAAAACUGGGUCUAUUUGUUGGUAAAACUGUGGUGUGAUGGGACUCCACCUGUGUAUCUGCUCCUGAACAAACAGGUGUGCUUAUUAGUCAGAUCUAUUAGUCUGGGCUCAUUAGUGAAUCCUGUUUGUACCUGUUCAUUAAUGAAAUAUGUCUGAUUGUGAGCAAAAUGUGAUCUUUAUCCUUCUGUAUCUGGAGAGUGGUCAAGGCCAUGGCAGUCGAUGUCUGGCCUUGUUUGGCAGCAGAUGGGGCAGGGGGAGCCUUGGUUUGGGAGAAGUAGAACAUUGCUCCCAAUAUUCUGCUCUGACCAAAUAAGGAACAAUAGAAUCUUAGAGAAGUCCUGGAGAAUUGGAUCAGGGCUGGAACUCAAGCAAACAGGAUGUGAGCUGAGCUCUGGGGACCCAGAGAAGAUCAAACCAAACAUGCUGGUCUCUGUGGGGAAAAGCAGUGAUGCUGAGAACCGAGGUCAAGAAGGGGACACCUGACUUUGGGGGGGCACCAGAUGCCAAAAAACCCACAAGAGACCCUCAAAGAAGACCCCAAAUGACCAAAUAGGUGCUUGCAAUAAGAGAUGUGACUGUGUAAAGCAAAGUAAUGGACAUGUGUUAAGUAAGGGAGAAUAUCCAAUGCCUCUGGAAUCAGUGUGUGUAAUCCCAAGCCCUGCCUGUGUCCCUGAGCAGGCUGGAUUAGAAGAACUCUCCUGCAGGCGUCCAUCACGCUGCCCUAAAGAAUGCCUGCUUCUUAACACCCCAAACUGGGGUGAAGGGCUUGGGUUCUGCUGCUUGUGGGGAUCAUUUCUGGCCCCCAGAUGGGACCCUGUGCCUGAUCUCCCAUGGAUCCGAGGGAUCUCUGGAUCUUCACGCCGGCCCCAGGACUUUCCUGGAGAAGAGCACAGAUCCCUGGCCCAGUCUGGGAUGUGGGGAAGAUCCCAUUGGAUAAUAAGGCAUUCUUUUGGGGAAUCCUGCUUAUGUAAGAUGUGUGGAUCUUCCAGCACUUUGGGUGGGUUAUUUGGUAUUCCACAAUUUGGUGUCUGGCUUUGUUUUCUCCACUGAUCAUUGUUCUGUGUUUGUAUUUGUCUCUGUACUGUAACAUUUGCACAGGUGGGUUAGGGGUGCAAAACUGACCCAGUUGUACAAGCAGUGAGUCAGCAGUGUGGUGUGUGAGAGAAAUGAUCCAACCCCUGCCAAUGCAGUGGGAACAGGUGAUGUACAGUGUGGAAAUGUUCCAGGUGAAUGUUGGCAGAUGGAUUUGACUGAAUUGCCCAGAAAAGGGGGGUGUAAAGAUCUCCUAGUCUUGGGGGAUACCUUCUCUGAGUGGCCAGAGGCUUUUCCUUGUUGCACUAAGAAGGUUUGGAAAGAGACUGCAAUCCUGUUCAGUGCAAUCCUCCCUGUAUUUGGGAUGCCUUUGGGAAUGUCAUCAGACAGAGGUUCCCACUUGACUGUAGAAACAAAAUGCUUCACUCUUGUUUUGCUCUUCUGAACACAGUUCAAACACUGUUGACAUGGGAGGAAAAUUUACAUCUCUUUUUAGUGCCAAAUGUGAUCCAAGUGUUGUCUAAAAGUGUCUGUAUUAAGUAAGCAAGACUCUGUAAUGAAUCUGUAAACUGUGUGUGUAAUGUAAAGCCCUGUCUGGCUGUCCCUGAAGUGCUGAGGCUGAACAACAGCCCCUGAGCCAAAGCUGAGCUCCAGAUGAACCUCCCAACCUAAUGGGCUGUGUCUCCAUGUAUCUGCUCAUCAGCUAAAACUGGGUCUAUUUGUUGGUACAAAUGUGCUGUGAUGGGACUCCACCUGUGUAUCUGCUCCUGAACAAACAGGUGUGCUUAUUAGUCAGAUCUGUUAGUCUGGGCUCAUUAGUGAAUCCUGUUUGUACCUGUUCAUUAACGAAAUAUGUCUGAUUGUGAGCAAAA